UACGUAGGGGGCAAGCGUUGUCCGGAAUCAUUGGGCGUAAAGCGCGUGUAGGCGGCUCGAUAAGUCCGCUCUGAAAGUCCAGGGCUCAACCCUGGGAUGCGGGUGGAUACUGUCGGGCUCGAGUCCGGAAGAGGCGAGUGGAAUUCCUGGUGUAGCGGUGGAAUGCGCAGAUAUCAGGAGGAACACCAAUAGCGAAGGCAGCUCGCUGGGACGUUACUGACACUGAGGCGCGAAAGCGUGGGGAGCGAACAGG
rnacentral:rRNA from 1 species